GGAAUUUUGCACAAUGGGGGAAACCCUGAUGCAGCGACGCCGCGUGAUUUAGAAGGCCUUCGGGUUGUAAAAAUCUUUUGUAUAGGAAGAAAAUGACAGUACUAUACGAAUAAGGUCCGGCUAAUUACGUGCCAGCAGCCGCGGUAAUACGUAAGGACCGAGCGUUGUCCGGAAUCAUUGGGCGUAAAGGGUACGUAGGCGGCUAGAAAAGUUAGAAGUCAAAGGCUAUAGCUCAACUAUAGUAAGCUUCUAAAACUAUUUAGCUUGAGAAAUGGAAGGGAAAGUGGAAUUCCUAGUGUAGCGGUGGAAUGCGCAGAUAUUAGGAAGAAUACCGGUGGCGAAGGCGACUUUCUGGCCAUUAUCUGACGCUGAGGUACGAAAGCGUGGGUAGCAAACA
rnacentral:rRNA from 1 species